CUCACCCUGGCCAGGGAUGGCACACUCCUGGCUACAUACACAGACCCAGCACUACGUGAACCAUAUGGUCUACAUGUGACCCCUGCAGGCCAAGUGCUGGUCUGUGGAGACUGGCCCGCCACUGUACUACAGGUGGGCUGGGAGGGAAAGAGUAAGCUGGCUAAUCUUGCUACUUGGAGAGAUGGAGUGUGGAGGCCACGGUCAGUCUGCUACAGCAGCACCACAUCAUCCAUCAUUGUGGGACAGAGGGGGCAGUGGUGGGACAACAUCCUGGUGUUCAGAGUGGAAUAGUGUGUACAUUUGCUGCUGGCAGUCGGGACAACGAUGCUGAGGAUGUGGGAGACAAACAUGACGCAGAAGGUGAGCACCAGCAUUGAUAUCCAGUUGGCCAAGCAACAGCACCAGUCCGGCCUGCAGGAGCCCCAAUACUAAAUGAUCCUUUGCCUUCCCUGAUCCCUAGCUCCUCCCACUGGACCUCCGGCCACAAAGGGUCAGCAUCAUAACACAAGUCUGUUCUGCAAUAAAUCCUCAGCACGUCAAGUUUUCACGCGCUGUUAUGAACAGCUGAAAUGUAUGUGUUGAGAUUUCCCCAAGCAAGCCCGAGUAGUUUUGUUUAGCUCUAGUGCCCGAGUGGGAUGAGUGUUACAGAAGCGAGACGUUAUAGCAGCACCUAUGGUAACGCUUACAGUUAACGCUAACAGUUAGUUCUCACUGUGGACAUCACGAAGAAUCUCACAAAGGAUUAAACGUUGAAUAGUUUGUUUAAUUCUUUAUAAGACAGCUAUAUAUUCAGCGAGGAACGGGAGCAAAUCAAGGAACAAUCGAAACUAUUCAUUCAGAAGUAUAUCUGCUGUAGAUAGUUAGGACAGUAGAAGGGUUACGGACUAUCCUCAGCGCACAAUAUAUUCAUGUGGUGUGCCUCAGACGCCAAUUCCCACAUGAUUGAAAACAAGUUGCUAAAAGUAAACACGUACGGUUUUGCACUCCGAGCCCAAAGGGCAUCGCAUUGAAUUGAGACUAAAGAAGGCUUAAAAACGUGACAACAGUUUUGUUGUAUGGUCCAGUACACCCUUCGACUCAUCCCGAAGUUAAUCAGAACUCAAACUCGGCCCUUAACAAUAUCCGCGAGGCCAGCAUAUCAGCUCAGCUUCUGAGCUUCAGGAGAGCACCAGCAUUGGUAUUGAGCUGGCCCAGCAACAGUACCAGUCCAGCAUGCAGGAGAUCCAGUCAAGGACGACCCUUCCCCUCCCCUGGCCACUAACUCCUCACUUUUGACCUGCAGCCUCAAAGGAUCAGCAUCGUUGAACAAUUCUGUUCUGCAGGAAAUUCUCAGCUCGUCAAGUUUUCACGGGCUGUUCUCAACAACCGCAAUGUCCUGGUCAAGUUUUCCACACUCAAGCCUGAGUAGUUUUGUUAAAUAUAAGCAGUAGAAAUGGUAAAACUAACAGCCAGUGUGCUCGCUCUGGGACAUCACAAAGAAUAUCACAGAAUACAAAGUUGAAUAACUUGUUCCAUUCAUUAUGGGACCAACAGAAAUUUAGCAAGAAACAGGGCAAACAAUCAAGGAACAAUUGAAGCGAUUAAUUUAGAAGUGUAGGCUUUCCAAAGUAGAUACUUCUGCUGUUGAUAGUUAUGACAGUAAUAGCGUUACGGACCCCUCGGUUUGUCCUCUCAGGCGUGUAAACUGUCCAUAAAGAACACACUUCUGACGCUUUUGCUGACAAAGAAAGGCAGAAAUGACUUGGCUGUGAACACCCAGAGCACAAUACAUCCUUGGGGCAUGCCUCAGACGCAAAUUCCGCCAAAGAUUAUAAACAAGGCGCAAAAUGUGAACAUGUCUAGCUUUGUUACGAGCACUUCCCACUCCGAGCCCAUAGGCCUCGUAUUGAAUCGAGGCUAGAGAAGGCAUUGACAAAUGACAGCAGUUGUGUUGUGUGGUCCAGUAGGCCCUUCGACUCUCAACCCGACGUUAAUCAGAACUCAAACUCAGCCCUUAGCAAUAUCAGCUCAGCUCCUUCAGCCUCAGGUGAGACCUUACAGUGUUAUUUAUUUUGUCAAAAUUGGAGCCAAAAUUCAGUCCCACUC